rnacentral:rRNA from 1 species
GACGAACGCUGGCGGCGUGCUUAACACAUGCAAGUCGAACGGAAAGGCCCUGCUUUUGUGGGGUGCUCGAGUGGCGAACGGGUGAGUAACACGUGAGUAACCUGCCCUUGACUUUGGGAUAACUUCAGGAAACUGGGGCUAAUACCGGAUAGGAGCUCCUGCUGCAUGGUGGGGGUUGGAAAGUUUCGGCGGUUGGGGAUGGACUCGCGGCUUAUCAGCUUGUUGGUGGGGUAGUGGCUUACCAAGGCUUUGACGGGUAGCCGGCCUGAGAGGGUGACCGGCCACAUGGGGACUGAGGUAGGGACCAGACUCCAACGGGAGGCAGCAGUGGGGAAUAUUGCACAGUGGGCGGAAGCCUGAUGCAGCAACGCCGCGUGCGGGAUGACGGCCUUCGGGUUGUAAACCGCUUUCGCCUGUGACGAAGCGUGAGUGACGGUAAUGGGUAAAGAAGCACCGGCUAACUACGUG